AGAGUUUGAUCAUGGCUCAGAACGAACGCUGGCGGCGUGCUUAACACAUGCAGGUCGAGUGCGCGUGCCGUAGCAAUACGGCAUGGCGCACGGCGCACGGGUGCGUAACACGUGGGCAAUCUGCCCUCCGAUGGGGAAUAACUCCGGGAAACCGAAGCUAAUUCCGCAUAACAUUCCCUGGACUCCGGUUCGGGGAUUCAAAGCAGCAAUGCGUCGGAGGAGGAGCCCGCGCCCGAUUAGCUAGUUGGUGAGGUAACGGCUCACCAAGGCUAUGAUCGGUAGCUGGUCUGAGAGGAUGGCCAGCCACACUGGAACUGAGACACGGUCCAGACUCCUACGGGAGGCAGCAGUGGGGAAUCUUGCGCAAUGGGCGAAAGCCUGACGCAGCGACGCCGCGUGGGGGAUGAAGCUUCUCGGAGUGUAAACCCCUUUCGACCGGGACGAAUGCCCGCAAGGGAGUGACGGUACCGGUAGAAGAAGCCCCGGCUAACUACGUGCCAGCAGCCGCGGUAAGACGUAGGGGGCCAGCGUUGUUCGGAAUUACUGGGUGUAAAGGGUUCGUAGGCGGUGUGGCAAGUCGGGAGUGAAAUUUCUGGGCUUAACUCAGAACCUGCUUCCGAAACUGCUGUGCUGGAGUGUGGGAGAGGCGCGUGGAAUUGCAGGUGUAGCGGUGAAAUGCGUAGAUAUCUGCAGGAACACCCGUGGCGAAAGCGGCGCGCUGGACCACUACUGACGCUGAGGAACGAAAGCUAGGGGAGCAAACAGGAUUAGAUACCCUAGUAGUCC
rnacentral:rRNA from 1 species